CCAGACUCCUACGGGAGGCAGCAGUGGGGAAUAUUGCACAAUGGGGGAAACCCUGAUGCAGCGACGCCGCGUGAGUGAAGAGGUAUUUCGGUAUGUAAAGCUCUAUCAGCAGGGAAGAAAAUGACGGUACCUGACUAAGAAGCCCCGGCUGACUACGUGCCAGCAGCCGCGGUAAUACGUAGGGGGCAAGCGUUAUCCGGAUUUACUGGGUGUAAAGGGAGCGUAGACGGCAUGGCAAGUCAGAUGUGAAAGCCCGGGGCUCAACCCCGGGACUGCAUUUGAAACUGUCAGGCUGGAGUGCAGGAGAGGUAAGUGGAAUUCCUAGUGUAGCGGUGAAAUGCGUAGAUAUUAGGAGGAACACCAGUGGCGAAGGCGGCCUGCUGGACGAUGACUGACGUUGAGGCUCGAAAGCGUGGGGAGCAAACAGGAUUAGAUACCCGCGUAUC
rnacentral:rRNA from 1 species